CAUGAGUUUGAUCCUGGCUCAGAUUGAACGCUGGCGGCAGGCCUAACACAUGCAAGUCGAGCGGAUGACGGGAGCUUGCUCCCUGAUUCAGCGGCGGACGGGUGAGUAAUGCCUAGGAAUCUGCCUGGUAGUGGGGGACAACGUUUCGAAAGGAACGCUAAUACCGCAUACGUCCUACGGGAGAAAGCAGGGGACCUUCGGGCCUUGCGCUAUCAGAUGAGCCGUAGG
rnacentral:rRNA from 1 species